rnacentral:rRNA from 1 species
UACAGAGGGUGCGAGCGUUGUUCGGAAUUACUGGGCGUAAAGCGCGCGCAGGCGGCUUUCUAAGUCCGUCGGUGAAAUACCGGGGCUCAACCCCGUGUCAGCCAUGGAUACUGGGAGGCUGGAGACAGGUAGAGGCAAGCGGAAUUCCGGGUGUAGCGGUGGAAUGCGUAGAUAUCCGGAAGAACACCGGAGGCGAAGGCGGCUUGCUGGACCUGGUCUGACGCUGAGGCGCGAAAGCGUGGGGAGCGAACAGG